rnacentral:rRNA from 1 species
UACAGAAGCCUCGAGCGUUGUUCGGAAUUACUGGGCGUAAAGGGAAUGUAGGUGGUGACGUAAGUCAGAUGUGAAAGCCCUGGGCUUAACCCGGGAAGUGCAUUUGAUACUGCGUUGCUUGAGUGCGAGAGAGGAAAGCGGAAUUCCAGGUGUAGGGGUGAAAUCCGUAGAUAUCUGGAGGAAUACCGAUGGCGAAGGCAGCUUUCUGGCUCGUAACUGACACUGAGAUUCGAAAGCGUGGGUAGCAAAC